rnacentral:piRNA from 1 species
UGAGAUGAACCCAGUACCUCAGUUGGA